rnacentral:rRNA from 1 species
UCCGGUUGAUCCUGCCGGAGGUUACUGCUAUCGAGGUUCGACUAAGCCAUGCGAGUCGAAUGUAGCAAUACAUGGCGUACUGCUCAGUAACACGUGGACAACCUACCCUUAGGUCGGGGAUAAACCCGGGAAACUGGGUAUAAUACCCGAUAGUCCUCGGAUGCUGGAAUGCACCGAGGUCUAAAGCUCCGGCGCCUAAGGAUGGGUCUGCGGCCUAUCAGGUAGUAGUGGGUGUAGCGUACCUACUAGCCUACGACGGGUACGGGUUGUGAGAGCAAGAGCCUGGAGAUGGAUUCUGAGACACGAAUCCAGGCCCUACGGGGUGCAGCAGGCGCGAAAACUUUACAAUGCUGGAAACAGCGGUAAGGGGACCUUGAGUGCCAGGUUACAAAUCUGGCUGUCGUGAUGCCUAAAAAGCAUUGCAUAGCAAGGGCCGGGCAAGACCGGUGCCAGCCGCCGCGGUAACACCGGCGGCUCGAGUGGUAACCGCUAUUAUUGGGUCUAAAGGGUCUGUAGCCGGCCGGAUAAGUCUUUUGGGAAAUCUGGCAGCUUAACUGUCAGGCUUUCAGAGGAUACUGCCUGGCUCGAGGCCGGGAGAGGUGAGAGGUACUUCAGAGGUAGGGGUGAAAUCUUGUAAUCCUUGAAGGACCACCAGUGGCGAAGGCGUCUCACCAGAACGGACCUGACGGCAAGGGAC